rnacentral:snoRNA from 1 species
AUCUUUUUGUGGUUCGUGAUGAUUGGGUGUUCAUGUACGUGUGUGGGAUGUGCCACCCUUGAAACUUGUUAUGACGUCAGCACGUCACCCAUCUGACC